UACAGAGACCACAAGCGUUAUCCGGAUUUAUUGGGCGUAAAGGGUCCGCAGGCGGCCUGGUAAGUCAUUCGUCAAAUCUUCGGGCUCAACCCGGAGGCUGCGGGUGAUACUGUCAGGCUAGAGACUGGGAGAGGCAUAUGGAAUUGCUGGUGUAGCGGUAAAAUGCGUUAAUAUCAGCAAGAACACCAAAGGCGAAGGCAAUAUGCUGGAACAGUUCUGACGCUCAGGGACGAAAGCGUGGGUAGCGAACAGG
rnacentral:rRNA from 1 species